rnacentral:rRNA from 1 species
GCUCACACAGUAUUGUCUGAUAGAAAGUGAAAAGCAAGGCGUCUUGCGAAGCAGACUGAUACGUCCCCUUCGUCUAGAGGCCCAGGACACCGCCCUUUCACGGCGGUAACAGGGGUUCGAAUCCCCUAGGGGACGCCACUUGCUGGUUUGUGAGUGAAAGUCGCCGACCUUAAUAUCUCAAAACUCAUCUUCGGGUGAUGUUUGAGAUAUUUGCUCUUUAAAAAUCUGGAUCAAGCUGAAAAUUUAAACACUAAACAAUGAAAGUUUUGCCUGAGUUUCUUUAAUUUUCUCAACUCUUCAAAUGCAAACACCAUCAGGGAGGGAGACGUUAAACAGACUAAACCUUCCCGCUGGAUGCCCUGUUGAGUGUUGACGUUAUAAAAGUGUUUCCAUGCUAGCUAAAUCUUAAGAAUGAUUUUUUAUAUUAACCACUGUCAUCCCCGAGCGGGACAAGUUAGUAUUAUCUCUAUUAGUUUUCCCGUU